UGAGCACCGUGCAGGGUGAAGAAGAGGACAGAAGAGUGUCUCACCACAGCGAUAGGAUAAAAGUUAAGCAUAAAAAAAAAGAGAGAGUGUGUAAAAACUCUUGUGCGUUUGUGAAAGUGUUGCUGGAAUAAUGAAAUAUUUAGUCCACCCGGCCUGUGGAAAGUAUUGUACCGUCGCCUGAGGGACACGCCUGCCUUUUAGGUAUGAUAAUUAUCUCUGAGAGCAGCUUCAUCUCCAGGGUUUCCUGAUGAAACCCUCCCUGGUGCUGCAGAGAAACAGGUUAGCGGUUGGCUACAGACACCAACAUGUCAGGGGACAGUUCACAUUCUGUCUGUUGUGUUUAAUGACGAGGAUAAAAGUGUGAGGCGACGGGGACCUUUGUCCUUGAAAACACGCCAUCAGUCUUGUCACCAAUGAGCCCUCAGGAAACACCGUGUGGCCACUAAUUUGAGUCUCAAUGCACUUAAUAAGUGCAGGGUUAUGUUGAGCAAGAAGUGUGUGUGUGGUAGUGAGAGAGAGUGAGAGAGGGAGAGAGAGAGGGUUCUGAUGCUCCAGAGAAGAAGUGAGACAGAUGGAUAACAGAGCGCUGCCUCUGUGGUUCUGGACCUGGGGUAGUGCUAAUUACAUCUUGAUUAAAAAAUGACCUGUCUGUCUGAUUGUCCAUGUGCUGAGAGAUAGACCUGAGACAGGUGUGUGUGUGUGUUACUCUACGAUCUGUGUGACAGGAAAAACACCGGUGAUGAAUUACGUAUAUUUUUGGGUCCUGACGAAGUCACUCUGUGUCCAUUAAAUUCUCUUUUAAAUUCUAUCUAGAAUUCACACCUCGUAAUUCAAUUUUUCUCAAUUUUGAAAGGUCGCUCUGAGUCGGAAACAAAGAAAGAAGUGAAAGGAGAUUCUUGAGACUAAGAGAUGGAAAAACAAGUUCUUCAGAGAAGGUGAACUCAUCUUGGUUAAGACGUGGAAACGAACACCGGACUUCCUCCUCGUGACCCUGAAAUGGUCCAUUGAUACAACGUUCUGAUAUGUAUGCAGCACAUCCAGUCUCUGUGAAGAUUUAUCGGACUCAUUUGAACCAAACUAAGAGGCGACAGGAGCCGCGUGAGUAGAAUACUCUGUUUGGCCGGUGUCUAUGGAGAAGGCGGCGGACGCAAUCGUCCAGGCUCCAUCCCCGCGGACGGCGCCCUGUGGUCAUGGCUGUGUGAGGUGGAGGAUUGUACUGUAGAGAUGCCAGAUAAUUGGUCCCCUGAAAACCAGGUCCUCACAAGGGAGUGAAUGUGAGUACACACACACACACACACACACACACACAUACACACACUUAGACAAUGUCAAUGCACAUCAGUGCUGUGACCAGAUUAACAGCCCCGGGGGCAGGACUGCUGGUACCUGCUCAAGCCUCAGUGCACGUCACUGAACACUGUCACACUGUCACAGCGCUGGUAAACAGUCACUCCGACCAACCCUCCGGACAUCAACUCUCCUCCACAUCCCAUCCACGUCCACAAGGGGGUUACACGGUUACGUGGCCCCCCCGAGGCUGCGAUA